UGAGGGAUAUUGCACAAUGGGGGAAACCCUGAUGCAGCGAUGCCGCGUGGGUGAUGAAGGUCUUCGGAUUGUAAAACCCUUUUCUGCAUGACGAGAGAGGACGGUAGUGCAGGAAUAAGCCUCGGCUAACUACGUGCCAGCAGCCGCGGUAAAACGUAGGAGGCAAGCGUUAUCCGGAGUUACUGGGCGUAAAGCGUGCGUAGGCGGUGCGAUAAGUGGGACGUGAAAGCUUCCGGCUAAACUGGAAGAGGACGACUCAGACUGUCGGACUAGAGCGGGUCAGAGGUACGCAGAAUUCGGGGUGUAGCGGUGAAAUGUGUAGAGAUCCCGAGGAAUACCAGUGGGGCAGCCGGCGUACUGGGACUGUGCUGACGCUGAGGCACGAAAGCGUGGGGAGCGA
rnacentral:rRNA from 1 species